rnacentral:rRNA from 1 species
UUAAAAAGCUCGUAGUUGGAUUUCUGGUCGGAGCGACCGGUCGGCGUCCUUUGUGGCGUGUGCACUGUUAUCGGCUCCGUCCAUCCUAGUGGGAAGGCGCGUUGGCAUUCAUUUGUCGGCGCGUGGCCCCGCUACGUUUACUGUGAAAAAAUUAGAGUGUUUAAAGCAGGCGUUCGCUGUGAAUACAUUAGCAUGGAAUAAUGAGAUAGGACUUUGGUACUAUUUUGUUGGUUUGCGCACCAAGGUAAUGAUUAAUAGGGAUAGUUGGGGGUAUUCAUAUUCAAUUGUCAGAGGUGAAAUUCUUGGAUUUAUGGAAGAUGAACUUAUG